rfam:Toxoplasma gondii ME49 gcontig_1112359873600, whole genome shotgun sequence.
UUUUAGGCUUCACUAGAAGCCACCAACGUUUACUUCGGACGUCAU